UGUGCUCUCAUUGGCUCACAGAAACAGCCAAUCGGAGUGCUCCAAGCAUCGGGGAGCGCUGCCAUGAUUCCGAAGCCGUGCCGAGGACCAGACCGAGGGUGGGGGAGCUGGUUUCAGCUCCCUGCA